UAUACAUGCAAGUCGAGCGAAUGGAUUAAGAGCUUGCUCUUAUGAAGUUAGCGGCGGACGGGUGAGUAACACGUGGGUAACCUGCCCAUAAGACUGGGAUAACUCCGGGAAACCGGGGCUAAUACCGGAUAACAUUUUGAACCGCAUGGUUCGAAAUUGAAAGGCGGCUUCGGCUGUCACUUAUGGAUGGACCCGCGUCGCAUUAGCUAGUUGGUGAGGUAACGGCUCACCAAGGCAACGAUGCGUAGCCGACCUGAGAGGGUGAUCGGCCACACUGGGACUGAGACACGGCCCAGACUCCUACGGGAGGCAGCAGUAGGGAAUCUUCCGCAAUGGACGAAAGUCUGACGGAGCAACGCCGCGUGAGUGAUGAAGGCUUUCGGGUCGUAAAACUCUGUUGUUAGGGAAGAACAAGUGCUAGUUGAAUAAGCUGGCACCUUGACGGUACCUAACCAGAAAGCCACGGCUAACUACGUGCCAGCAGCCGCGGUAAUACGUAGGUGGCAAGCGUUAUCCGGAAUUAUUGGGCGUAAAGCGCGCGCAGGUGGUUUCUUAAGUCUGAUGUGAAAGCCCACGGCUCAACCGUGGAGGGUCAUUGGAAACUGGGAGACUUGAGUGCAGAAGAGGAAAGUGGAAUUCCAUGUGUAGCGGUGAAAUGCGUAGAGAUAUGGAGGAACACCAGUGGCGAAGGCGACUUUCUGGUCUGUAACUGACACUGAGGCGCGAAAGCGUGGGGAGCAAACAGGAUUAG
rnacentral:rRNA from 1 species